rnacentral:rRNA from 1 species
GACGAACGCUGGCGGCGUGCUUAACACAUGCAAGUCGAACGGAAAGGCCCUGCUUUUGUUGCGUGCUCGAGUGGCGAACGGGUGAGUAACACGUGAGUAACCUGCCCUUGACUUUGGGAUAACUUCAGGGAACUGGGGCUAAGACCCGAUAGGAUCUCCUGCUGCAUGGUGGGGGUUGGAAAGUUUCGGCGGUUGGGGAUGGACUCGCGGCUUAUCAGCUUGUGGGUGGGGUUGUGGCUUACCAAGGCUUUGACGGGUAGCCGGCCUGAGAGGGUGACCGGCCACAUAGGGACUGAGAUAAGGCCCAGACUCCUACGGGAGGCAGCAGUGGGGAAUAUUGCACAAUGGGCGGAAGCCUGAUGCAGCAACGCCGCGUGCGGGAUGACGGCCUUCGGGUUGUAAACCGCUUUCGCCUGUGACGAAGCGUGAGUGACGGUAAUGGGUAAAGAAGCACCGGGUAACUACGUG